GCUGUGCUGACCCCCGCC
rnacentral:misc_RNA from 1 species